CAAAGGCUUGGUCCUGACUUUACUAUCAGCUCUACCCCAAAUUAUACAUGCAAGUAUCCGCACUCCUGUGAGAAUGCCCUUUAUCCCCUGCCCGGGGACGAGGAGCGGGCAUCAGGCACGCAUCCUGCCCAAGACGCCUUGCUAUGCCACACCCCUACGGGAAUUCAGCAGUAAUAAAUAUUAAGCCAUAAGUGAAAACUUGACUUAGUUAGAGGUUAAGAGGGUCGGUAAAAUUCGUGCCAGCCACCGCGGUUAUACGAAAGACCCUAGUUGAUAGCCACGGCGUAAAGGGUGGUUAAGGAAAACCAACAAUAAAGCUAAAGAUCCCCUAAGCCGUCAUACGCACUCCGGGGCCGCGAAACCCAAACACGAAAGUAGCUUUACCAAAUUUUUUACCUGACCCCACGAAAGCUAAGGAACAAACUGGGAUUAGAUACCCCACUAUGCUUAGCCCUAAACCUAGAUGUAAUUUUACAAGUUCAUCCGCCCGGGUACUACGAGCACAGCUUAAAACCCAAAGGACUUGGCGGUGCCUCAGAUCCACCUAGAGGAGCCUGUUCUAGAACCGAUAAUCCUCGUUGAACCUCACCAUCUCUUGUUUUUCCCGCCUAUAUACCGCCGUCGUCAGCUUACCCUGUGAAGGUCCAACAGUAAGCAAAAUGAGCACAACUCAAAACGUCAGGUCGAGGUGUAGCGUACGAGAUGGGAAGAAAUGGGCUACAUUUUCUACAACAGAAUACCACGAAUGGCACCCUGAAAUAUAGUGCCUGAAGGCGGAUUUAGUAGUAAAAAGCAAACAGAGAGUCCUUUUGAAUUAGGCUCUGAGGCGCGCACACACCGCCCGUCACUCUCCCCUCCUACUCAUAACACCCUAAAAUACUUAAUAAAAUUAAUCACACCACGGGGAGGCAAGUCGUAACAUGGUAAGUGUACCGGAAGGUGCACUUGGAAUAAC
rnacentral:ncRNA from 1 species